UACAUUGUUAUGAAUCUAAAGCACCUGUGUGACCUUAUGAGGGAAACAAAUCCACAUUUCACUAUCUCUCUCUACCACCUCUCCUCUCUCUGUCUAUAUCUGUCUGUCUUUUAGGGGACUGCUGGAAUUCCAGGUCUGAAGGGGGCUCCAGGUGGCACAGUAAGAUGUAUAGAUUUAUCAUCUUGUUUAUUAAACAGAAGUGGCAUCAUUAGAGAGGAGUGAUGUUUUAUUUUAUGAUUCCUAUCUGAUCAGAUCUGACUUUUCCUGUAGGGCUUCAGAGGACUAGAUGGAGACAAAGGAGAUGCUGGACCCAAAAGAGACAAGGUAAGGACUUGAUUAUGGGUUUGGGAAGCAGUAGUAAAUUAAUCGGGACGAUCACAAAGGUCAUAUUCAUGAAGCUCUUGUAACAUGUUUUUCUGAAAACAAGAAUUUGCAUAUCAUAUGGUGUUUUGAUACCGUUAGUGUUUCUUUCCUCAGAGUUCUGUUGCUGCGUCAGGGAUCCAAGGCCAUCAGGGUGAGAGGGGUCAGAGUGGCCUCUCAGGGCUUCCUGGUCUCAGAGGUCAAGCUGGUGCCCAAGGCAUCCAGGUAAACAUCAGGAUCACACCUGCAAUUCACAGCCUUUAUUAACAUAAUAACACUCUGCCUAUCCUCCUCCUGUACCUCAUUUGCUGUUACAUACUGAUGCACGGAGAAGACGGAGAGGUCGGCCUCCAGGGAGUGGUUGGAAAGGAAGGGUCAAAGGUCAGGAGAGUUUAUUGCAAUCUAGUGGAGUGAUUAGACUUAGAAUGGCUUUUCCUGGAGGGAACUUCCUUUCCCGAGAGCUCUAACUAGUGCUGUUAGAGCUCUCCUCUGUUCUAGUCUAAAUGCACCUGCAUUAAAUUAGCCAAUAUUGUAUGAUCAGCUUCCCAAAGAUUGUAUUUAGUCUCAUAGAGUUUGAAUACAGUACAAUACUGACUGAGAUUUUGAUGCAAAACCAAGCUAUAUCAUGCCAUGUUCAUAUACAUUUGCAUCACGUCAUAUCUUACAGACUGAAAGUCUUGAUUUUGAAUGUCUCUCUUUGUUUGCUCCUAAGGACCACAGGGAAGCUCCAGGCCGCAAUGGGAAGUCGGGACCUAAAGGACCCAGGGGCCGUAGUGAACAGCCUGGUCUUUUUGGUAUACCUGGAAUCCCGGUAAGGGAAGAGUACUCAAUCUCAUAUGAAUAUUACCUGACAGACAUUGGGACUGAGGGAGCAGAAGGAAAGCCUGGUACACAGGUUCCCAUUUUAUACAUUUGAAUAUUUUAAUUUCACUUAUUAUGAUUUUCAACUGACUCCUUAAUUGUCUAGUGGACAUUUCCAAUAUAGUUCAUUGAACAGGUACAAGCUCAGCUAGUUCAACCAACCAUUAUUGAUAAAUAGCCUAAAAACUCAAAUAAAUGUGAGUAAAAGUUACAUUCUGUGUAUACAAAUGAAUGUAUGACAUGAUAAAAGAGAAUAUGUGUAAUGUGUGAUUGACAGGGUGCUCCUGGCUCUGCUGGCAUUCCUGCAUCUAAAGGAGACAGAGUGAGUCAUAUUCCUGUAACCAAUCAGCUCUAAACAAGAAGAGGUCAACAGUAAAAAGGAUAAAAACACAAAAGGCUCAAUCAUCACUAAACUCUCAUAAACCUGAGCAAUAAAGAGAGGAAGUGUGAGUUGUUGAU
rnacentral:lncRNA from 8 species